rnacentral:rRNA from 1 species
UACAGAGGGUGCGAGCGUUGUUCGGAAUCACUGGGCGUAAAGGGCGUGUAGGCGGUCAGGUAAGUGGGAUGUGAAAGCCCUCGGCUCACCCGAGGAUCUGCAUCUCAAACUGCCUGGCUUGAGUAUGGGAGAGGAUGAGGGAAUUCCUGGUGUAGCGGUGAAAUGCGUAGAUAUCAGGAGGAACACCGGUGGCGAAGGCGCUCAUCUGGCCCAAUACUGACGCUGAGGCGCGAAAGCUAGGGGAGCAAACGGG